CGCGAGCCUGACCCCCCCCCCCCCCCCCGGCGGUGACCGCGGAGCAGCUUCCCCGCCCCCUGGCCUUAUGUCCCUACUCCCCCUCCCCCCUGCGGCCCGGCCUGUCUCGCUGCCCCGCGGCUCCUGGCACUCCCCGGGGAACCCCGUGCCGGGGCAGGCACGGGAGCAGGGGCUGGGCCCCUGAGUUCCUGCUAACCCCUCGUCCCCCGUUGCUGGCCCGGCCUCUCGACCCUAGCGGGCGGUAGUUGUGCGCUGCGGGGACCGGCUCCCCGGGGGCGGCGGGCUCCCCUCGCUGCCGGCCCGGUGAGGUGGCCUCACGGGUCGGCAGUUCGCAGCGCGAGUGUCUGGGCCAGGGCCGCCCGCUGCGAGCGGGGCUGGCGUAUCCGCUGGCCUUGUUGGAGCCCGUCAGGUCCUGCGGGGGCGGGGAGGCUGGAGAGUGAACAUGUUGCUAGAUCACUAAUAUAUAGUUGUAUGGCUGAUUGUUUGUUAAUCUAUGGAGUGUGUGGAAAGUUAUUUUGAAGGGUGUAAAUUCUCUCUUUAGCCAGUAGCCUGGAGCAAUUGUGAAGCUCCACAACACUGUGUAAUCAUGGAUUUAGUACCAGUACAUCCAUCUAGAUGAAGAGAAAUUGAAGAGGAACCCAACAGGACUACCACCCCAUGGAGGAUUAUGGACAUGGCAAAAAAAAAAAAAAAUAGAUAUGGGCUUUCCGAAGAAAAAGGGAACACAAGGUCACUUGGAAACAGUCCCAGAAAAGGACCACAUAGUAUUCUGAAUAGCUCAAAUUCUUUUAAAAACAUGGGUCAGAACCAAGGAGUAAGAAUAAAUGAUACCUGAAAAGACCAGAUUAAGAAAUGGAUAUCCGAUGACCAUUGUGGCAAUUCAGACAGCUGGAGAGAGUACAAAUCUACAGUUUGGAUUCCUGUGCUUAACAGGACAAGAAAAGACUCUUUUCAUGAGGUUGAAGGUGCAGGAAGCAGAAAUGUAAAAAGACAGUUUCUGAAAGACUUAAAUGAAGAAAUGUCAGACACACAGAAAGGAAACUGUGGUAAUGAACACAUUUUUUACAUAGUUUUUUAAAGUAAAAUCGAUUACUGUGUGCUUGUCCAGAAAGUACAACUUUAAGGUUCAAUGUUAAUGCAAAAAGCUAAAUAAAACCAUUUCUGUUCCGUAA